UAAACACCUUUACGCGGUUUUGCUUUACGUGUGGCCGGUGUUUGGAGUUUUCAAAGGACGCGGAUCAGACGGAGACACUUGAAGGCAACAUCUCGACAGCCGGACAGUGUUAAGCAAACCAAACAUCCAUGCCCAUCAUACAAACAGUUCAUGGAGUACAGAAGCUCGAAGUCAAAAGAGCGACAGUCUUUUAACUACAGACCAAAACAAAGAAAUAGGCCUAAAGAAAGAAAACACGUCCAGAAAAAGGUAGGAUUGAUGGUGCCACAUGGAACUGAUGGAAUUGAUUUAAAAAACCUCUAAGACGGAAAACGCUCCCGUUAUUUACAGACUCAGAAGUAGCAGCACCUGAUCUUCUGAAACAAGCUGUGUAGAAAAUUAGAAAAUUUAACAUGGACAUGCAGGAAAGAACCUCAUGUCCUUUUGUAUCCAGACUGCUCAGAGGUGAUCCAUGUGCCUGGGUUAGAAAUGCCAUUCAAAUUGGCAGAAUAUAAAAAGGAAAUAGGAAAGGCAUAUUCCAGGAUCACUUUUUUCAUUUGCCUGGAGAAACACUAUUAAGGAGGUUAGUGGAUCUCAUGAUUCAAUAUUUUUUACAUAUUUAGAUACUCUGCUGGAGAACAGAUAAUG